rnacentral:rRNA from 1 species
UACGAAGGGGGGCUAGCGUUGCUCGGAAUCACUGGGCGUAAAGGGUGCGUAGGCGGGUCUUUAAGUCAGGGGUGAAAUCCUGGAGCUCAACUCCAGAACUGCCUUUGAUACUGAGGAUCUUGAGUUCGGGAGAGGUGAGUGGAACUGCGAGUGUAGAGGUGAAAUUCGUAGAUAUUCGCAAGAACACCAGUGGCGAAGGCGGCUCACUGGCCCGAUACUGACGCUGAGGCACGAAAGCGUGGGGAGCAACAGGAUUAGAUAC